GGCGCUGUGGCGGAAUGGCUACGCAACGCAUUGCAAAUGCGUACCAUACCAGUUCGAUUCUGGUCGGCGCCUCCA
rnacentral:tRNA from 1 species